AGAAUUUUAAGUUAAAAAAACUAGAAGUUUUCAAGGCUUUCAUUAUUCAGUUUUGUUUAAAUUCUG
rnacentral:tRNA from 1 species